rnacentral:sRNA from 1 species
GCCAGGCGCAGUGGUGCAUGCCUGUAAUCCCCGUGAAUUGGGAGGCUGAGGCAGGAGGAUCGAAAGUUCUCAGUGAGACCCUGUCUCAA